rnacentral:rRNA from 1 species
UACGGGGGGGGCAAGCGUUGUUCGGAAUUACUGGGCGUAAAGGGCUCGUAGGUGGCCAACUAAGUCAGACGUGAAAUCCCUCAGCUUAACUGGGGAACUGCGUCUGAUACUGGAUGGCUUGAGUUUGGGAGAGGGAUGCGGAAUUCCAGGUGUAGCGGUGAAAUGCGUAGAUAUCUGGAGGAACACCGGUGGCGAAGGCGGCAGUCCUGGACCAACACUGACACUGAUGAGCGAAAGCCAGGGGAGCAAACGGGG